AAAGUAGAGAGGUAGAGAGAACUGAGCGACUGUGAUUGAGGAACCGGCGCCAACCGCCGUUGAGGAAGCGGGAACUGUUGUUACGACGUCACCAACUGCCUCCGACUGAACCAGAGUCUGUGAUGACGACGGCGAGUUCUAGAGUCCCGAUCUCUCAAUUGGUCGCCGGUUGUGGCUUCUCGAUGGUGGUCGGCCGGUUAACGGGGAUAUCCGACAAUACCCACAAAAAACCACCGCUGGUGCUUUGACAUAGACAAUAAAUAAGGAGCGACAGAACACGUUGGUGAGCACUCCGGCAGUUCUUUCACUCCGGCGAUGGCGGUUUGGACCUGAACCAGGGACCGCUUGUCCUUGCACUGCCACUGCUUCCUCCUCCCUCUCCACCACACCACCGACUUCACUCCGGCGAUGGGCGGUUUGGAAUUGAAUCAGCGAGGUCGUCUCCUUCUUCCACUGCCGCUGCUUCCUCCUCCUUCUCCAGUGACAAUAGCAAAUGAUACCGCCGCAACUCGCAUUUCAGCAGCAUGAAUGAUAGAAUCUGCCUCAAAUGCUAGAUGGUAAUAUCACAGUCCAGUCUAUUCAGAUGUAGAGGCAAAGAUGAGGCGUUUUUUGGUUGAUUUGGAGUCCAAAUGUGCAUCACUAUGAAAAACAAACUUUUUUAUGAUUGGAUAUACUGAUCAGUAUGACUACUACAAAGCUAUUCGUUGCACUAUAUAUACUUUUAUGCUUUUUAGUUCAGGUUUGUGUGUACAAAGACUGGACAAGUGAUAAUCGAUACCACAACUGGAAUACUGGGAAAUGGUAGCGCUUUUUCAUGUUCAAAAGGGAUUACUUCUUGAACACAAACCCGAAGAAGCAGCCGCAAUAAUUCAGUUAGAUUAUAGUGGGAUUCAUUUUGUAUAACUUCGUUUUGUACAUCCUUGACAUAUAGGCUAGGCGAUGCGACUAUGGAAUGUUGAUGUAACAAACACUUGGUUUAUCGAGUAUGAUACAUAUGAAUGAAUCCCCGCCGCAUCGCAGCG
rnacentral:lncRNA from 1 species